rnacentral:rRNA from 1 species
GAUGAACGCUGGCGGCAUGGAUUAGGCAUGCAAGUCGAGCGAGAAGUGUAGCAAUACACGGAAAGCGGCGGAAGGGAGAGUAAUACGUGGGAAUCUGCCCUUAGACCUGGGAUAGCAGCGGGAAACUGCUGGUAAUACCAGAUAAUGUCUAUGGACCAAAGGUGUGAUUCCGCCUAGUGAUGAGCCCACGUCCUAUUAGCUAGUUGGUAGGGUAAUGGCCUACCAAGGCGAUGAUGGGUAGCGGGUGUGAGAGCAUGACCCGCCUCACUGGGACUGAGACACUGCCCAGAAACCUACGGGUGGCUGCAGUCGAGAAUCUUCGGCAAUGGGCGCAAGCCUGACCGAGCGAUGCCGCGUGCGGGAUGAAGGCCUUCGGGUUGUAAACCGCUGUCGAGGGGGAGCAACUUCCAUAGAGUUAUCUUUAUGGAUUGAGUGAUCCCUGGAGGAAGGACGGGCUAAGUUCGUGCCAGCAGCCGCAGUAA